GGAUAACCUGCCCUAUUGUCUGGAAUAACCUCGGGAAACUGAGAACAAGGCCGGAUAGCCCACAAUGCCUGGAACGGUUUGUGGGUGAAGAUAGGAUGGGUCUGCGGCGUAUCAGGUCGUAGGGGGUGUAAUGGACCUCCUAGCCAUCGACGCGUACGGGUGUUGGGAGACAUAGCCCGGAGAUGGAUUCUGAGACACGAAUCCAGACCCUACGGGGUGCAGCAGGCGCGAAAACUUCACACUGCAGGAAACUGUGAUGAGGGAACUCCAAGUGCUAUCACUAUGUGGUAGCUUUUCUUGACUAUUAAUCGGUCAUGGAAUAAGGGCUGGGAAAGACCGGUGCCAGCCGCCGCGGUAAUACCGGCAGCUCAAGUGGUCGUCGCUUUUAUUGGGCCUAAAACGUCCGUAGCCUGUUUGGUAAAUCUGUGGGUAAAUCAACCAGCUUAACUGGUUGAAUUCUGCAGAGACUGCCAGACUAGGGACCGGGAGAGGUGUGGGGUACUCUAGGGGUAGGGGUAAAAUCCUGUCAUCCUUAGAGGACCACCAGUUGCGAAGGCGCCACACUGGAACGGAUCCGACGGUCAGGGACGAAGCCUAGGGGCACGAACCGGAUUAGAUACCCGGGUAGUCCUAGGUGUAAACGCUGUGAACUUGGUGUCGGGGAUCCGUAAUGGGUCCUCGGUGCCGGAGUGAAGAUGUUAAGUUCACUGCCUGGGGAGUACGGUCGCAAGGCUGAAACUU
rnacentral:rRNA from 1 species